UUAGAGCUGCAAACGAAUCAAAUGUUCGGCGAACAGUUUUUUUUUUUUUUUUUUGUGUGAACCGUUCGACGGAAAGUUCAUUUGUGUUCGUUUGUUUAUUAAACAAACGAAUACGAACAAUAAAUUUCAUUCGUUUAGUUAAAUGAACAAACACGAACAGAGGUCGCGUUCGUUCGUUUAUGUUCGUGAAUGUUCGGUAACGUGUUCGUUUGUGUUCAAUAAUUCAUUACUAUUAUUAGUUUUUACAUUUAUUUAAAUACUUCAAAAUUCCGACUAAUUAAAUAUCUAAUAAGUGUCCGUGUAUUAUAUAUUAUGUUCAUGAACGAUUGUUUAUGUACGUUUGUUUCCAUUUUUGUUCAUGAACAUUAGUUUGUGCUCAUUUGUGUUCAUCAACGUUCGUUUUUGUUCGUUGCCUAAAAUUAACAAACGAACACGAACAAGUUCAUUUCCUUAACAAACGAACACGAAAUAAAAUUUCGUUCGAUAAGUGUUUAUGAACGGUUCGCGAACACAUAUUUUUUAACAAACGAACACAAACAAGGUCUUGUUUGUGUUCGUUUGGUUCGUUUGCAGCCCUAGUUACAAUAAUAUACCACAUAAGAAUUACACACACAUAUAGGCGAAUAUGUAUGUAUGUAUUUAAGUGAAUGUUGUAAAGAAAAAGUUUAAAGGGUUAUGCAGUCCAUCAGUAUCUUGUAACCUCAAAGAAAAGGUUGGCAAUCUUUCUAUUAGUGGUCCUCACUUCAUCUUAGUUUAUCUCUUUCUAUCUAUAAAUUUAUUGCCCACAUGUCAUCUGACACGUGGCAGGCAGAGAGGGUUUAUUGUUUGGGAAUCCUAAGUUGGGGAUGA
rnacentral:lncRNA from 1 species